rnacentral:rRNA from 1 species
GACAGAGGGUGCAAGCGUUAAUCGGAAUUAUUGGGCGUAAAGCGUACGUAGGCGGAUUAGUAAGUUGGAUGUGAAAUCCCUGGGCUUAACCUGGGAAUUGCAUUCAAUACUGCUAGUCUAGAGUACAGUAGAGGGAAGUGGAAUUUCCAGUGUAGCGGUGAAAUGCGUAGAUAUUGGAAAGAACAUCAGUGGCGAAGGCGACUUCCUGGACUGAUACUGACGCUGAUGCACGAAAGCGUGGGGAGCAAACAGG